rnacentral:rRNA from 1 species
GUGGGGAAUAUUGGACAAUGGGGGGAACCCUGAUCCAGCCAUGCCGCGUGUGUGAAGAAGGUCUUCGGAUUGUAAAGCACUUUAAGUUGGGAGGAAGGGCAGUAAGUUAAUACCUUGCUGUUUUGACGUUACCGACAGAAUAAGCACCGGCUAACUUCGUGCCAGCAGCCGCGGUAAUACGAAGGGUGCAAGCGUUAAUCGGAAUUACUGGGCGUAAAGCGCGCGUAGGUGGUUUUGUAAGUUGGAGGUGAAAUCCCCGGGCUCAACCUGGGAACUGCCUCCAAAACUGCAUGACUAGAGUACGGUAGAGGGUGGUGGAAUUUCCUGUGUAGCGGUGAAAUGCGUAGAUAUAGGAAGGAACACCAGUGGCGAAGGCGACUACCUGGACUGAUACUGACACUGAGGUGCGAAAGCGUGGGGAGCAAACAGGAUUAGAAACCCUGGUAGUCC